GGGGCUAUAGCUCAACUGGAUAGAGCGCCAGCUUUGCAAGCUGGAUGUUAUGGGUUCAAAUCCCAUUAGCUCCACCA
rnacentral:tRNA from 1 species